rnacentral:rRNA from 1 species
GACGUAGGGCGCGAGCGUUGUCCGGAUUUAUUGGGCGUAAAGAGCUCGUAGGCGGCUCGUUGCGUCAACCGUGAAAACCCGGGGCUUAACUUCGGGCUUGCGGUUGAUACGGGCGGGCUGGAGUUCGGUAGGGGAGACUGGAAUUCCUGGUUUAGCGGUGAAAUGCGCAGAUAUCAGGAGGAGCACCGGUGGCGAAGGCGGGUCUCUGGGCCGAUACUGACGCUGAGGAGCGAAAGCGUGGGGAGCGAACAGG